rnacentral:rRNA from 1 species
UACGUAGGUCGCAGACGUGUCGGUUCGAUCUGGGCGUAAAGAGCGCGCAGGCGGUCGAUCAAGUCGAGUGUGAAAGCCCCCGGCUCAACUGGGGAGGGUCAUUCGAUACUGAUCGACUCGAAGGCAGGAGAGGGUAGUGGAAUUCCCGGUGUAGUGGUGAAAUUCGUAGAUAUUGGGAAGAACACCGGUGGCGAAGGCGGCUAUCUGGCCCGUAAUUGACGCUGAGGCGCGAAAGCGUGGGGAGCAAACAGG